ACCGCGGUAGUGCAAUGGUUAGCACGCUCCCCCGAAAAGAACGUGGUGCGGGUUCAACUCUCGUCCGAGGUU